UCUGUUGUAGGCUCUGAACUGAACAAGAGUCUUUCUUUUUCAGUGGGUGUGGGGUUUUUUGUUUUACUUUUGUUGGUAAUAAAAAGAAUAAUUAAUGGCUUCCAGUUGGGCACCAGGCAGUCUGCGCGAUCUGCACCAGGCUAACGAUCCAGCCAGCAUGCAUUAAUCAUUAGGAAUUCCUUGAGAGUGGGAGAAAAGUUGGUAUCCCAAAGGCGCCAAUUAUGUCUGUUUAAUAUUUAUGGUCCAGCAUUCUGGUUUGGACCAAAUUUAGUUACGAGGAGGAGCAAAUCCCAUCAAGAUAUCACCAGAAUCAGGGAAUGAGCCAUCAGUGUGUGUCCAGAACCUGGCAUUGCAAUAGUCCAUGAAAAUGAUAAAUAGAAGCAUCUUUGGAAACCUAGUUAUGAAAAAACAGGCCUGUGCCAGAAGGAAGAGAUCAGAACACAUUUCAGAAACCUCCUUGCUAUUUAUUGAAUGUUCUCAGAAAUAACAUUCAAACACAGAGAAACCUGUCAAACUGGAGAAUGUCUUUGUUAUAGGAGAAACCUGAUGGUUAGGGGCUAAUGCUCUGCAUAUGGAGAGGUUUAAAUAGAGCUGAACAAAAUGUUAAUUGUAAAAGCCCAACGCCAAGCAAAA